rnacentral:rRNA from 1 species
UACAGAGGGUGCAAGCGUUGUUCGGAAUUAUUGGGCGUAAAGCGCGUGUAGGCGGCUUUGCAAGUCAGUUGUGAAAUCUCCGAGCUUAACUCGGAAAGGUCAACUGAUACUGUGCGGCUAGAGUGCAGAAGGGGCAACUGGAAUUCUUGGUGUAGCGGUGAAAUGCGUAGAUAUCAAGAGGAACACCUGCGGCGAAGGCGGGUUGCUGGGCUGACACUGACGCUGAGGCGCGAAAGCUAGGGGAGCGAACGGG